rnacentral:lncRNA from 1 species
CAGGGUGGAAAAUGAAAGUUCUGAGAGCACCUUCCGCCCCUCCGCUUCUGCACAGCCGGGGCUGCGGUGCGAGGAGCUUGGCCGCGGGGCCCGAACGAGGCGAAGGGGCCGGGGCCCUUGGGGAACCCCCUUCUCUCUUCCACUCUCCCUUAGGUAAAACCCGUGUUCCUCUCACGCUCGACCCAGCGCCUUUCCAGCUGCGGUCGAUUUGCUUCUCCGCGUGGUGUUAGCUCCAUGGGGAAGCAGCUUCUUCUGUGUUGUUCACCACUGUGCCUGGUGAACACCACUGCACCUAGCACACAAUGGGCACUGAAGAAGGCACUGAGUCGCAGAAGAAUGAAUGAAUUCCCCUCCCUGGUGAGGCCAGAAGCAACAUCCUGUAAGCAUAUCAUGACCAGCUAUUCUCCACUUCAUUGCUCACUGAGUUUGCCCACUUGAAAAGCCCUCCAACCCCUCAUCUGUGCAGGUUUGGAAUUCUGUGCAGGACUCAGGGAUUCCAUGAGGUGCAGCCCAGGCACACCCCCUUCUAAUCCUCUCCCUCUGGGGAGACCUUUCCUGCUCCUUCAUAUGAGUUUCUACCACCCUGCUGGCCUCUUCGAUGCAGUUUAGCCCCUGACAAUGACUAACGGACUCAUUUGACUCUCAUCAUCUCUAGUAAUUUAAAAAUUCCCUAGGGUCAGGGAGCAGGUCCUAACCUCAUUCAACACCUCACCCAGUGCCUUGUCCCUUUCUCAGCACAUUCUUCUACUCAGUAAAUGUUUGAAGAAGCCUCAUGAGGGCAGGAAUCUUUGUGUUUUGUUUCUCUUAUGUCUCCCAAGUACCUGGCCCUGGAAGGCAAUUGAUGCUCAAUCAAUACACAUUUUAAUAAAUUCGCUAGUGAACUGAAACACCACCUGAAACACUGCUGCUUUUAGAGUUUGUGGAGGGAGGGACUGUUCCCUGCACCUACCCCAGUGACUGGCACCUGGAAUUCACCGAGCAAGUUGGUUGAAAAAGUUAAAGGAAUUUUCCAGCACUUUGAAAACUAAACCAAGAGAAUGUCUCCAUAUCAAAUUUCAGCCACUCCUUAUAAAAAUGUCUUAAAGGCUGUAAAUCACCGUAUUCACCUGCAGGAAGCAGUGUUGAGGAAGGAGGUAGUAUAGGGUUAAGGGUCUAUUUAAACCAGCUGCUUAGGGCCAAGUUAGAUGUUUAUUCUGUCUAGUUUAAACCACUGGCUUAACAGGGUACUUAAUUUUCCAGUUUCAUCAAAGAAAUGUGCUGUGAGGCCAAGAAAAUUAUGUAGUUCAUUUUUUUAAAAGAGAUGCAAACUGAGAAAUUCUGUGACCAUUAACAGUCUCAUUAAAGAAAUAAGAAAAUAUGAUUGUUUCUCUUAGAUUUUGCAAAAUGGCUAAGGAGCAUUUUUAGACACUUUGUUGUAGAACAACUCUCUUUUAAGCUACUUUCCUCCUUUCUUAAAAACAAAAUAUAGGCCGGGUGUGGUGGCUCACACUUGCAAUCCCAGCACUUUGGGAGGCUGAGGCAGAUGGAUCACCUGAGGUCAGGAGUUCGAGACCAGCCUGGCCAACAUGGUGAAACCCCAUCUCUACUAAAAGUACAAAAAUUAGCUGGGCGUGAUGGUAGGCACCUGUAAUCCCAGCUACUUGGGAGGCUGAGGCACGAGAAUCGCUUGAAUCCAGGAGGCAGAGGUUACAGUGAGCCGAGGUCAUGCCACUGCACUCCAGCCUGGUGGUCAGAGCGAGACUUUGGCUCAAAAAAAAAAAAAAUGUAUUAUCCAUUUAUUAUGUACUCAUUCAGCAGAUAGGAGCAAAAGCGCCCAUUCUACUCUUAAGUCCCAACCCAGAAAUAGAGCAGUGAGGGAAACUGACAGCAUCCUGGGCCUCAGCACCUGCUGGGAGAAAGAGCCAACAAAAUACACAGCAACACACAGGAUAUAGCACCCUUGGUGUUGAUUAAACGCUAGAUGAAGAAAAGGGAGGAGGAGACGGGAGGAAUGCAGGCUGAGGCGGUGGCAGGGGGCUCCAUUUUAAACAGGAUGUCGACAAAGAUAGAAUUUCAGCGAGUGCUAGAAUGAGGUAAGGACUUACAUCAACAAUCUGCCCGCACCAUUUCUUCUUAGAUUUCAGAAACUGUUUUCGUUUGAUUCAAUACUGGUGCCUUCCUUCGGUUCAUUUUCUGUUUAUCAUAAAAAUUAUCCUAGGUCUUCAAAACUAAUUUAAUGGAAUUGUAUAGAAAUGGAAAUAAAAGUGACUACAAGCUUCAAAAAGGUAGAUUUUGGGUAUAAAGACAAUCUUAUAUAUUUUUUUCUUUUUCAAGACAAAGUCUCACGUUGUCAUCCAGGUUAGAGUGUAGUGGCACGAUCUAGGCUCACUGCAACUUCUGCCUCCCCGAUUCAAGCGAUUCUUGUGUGUCAGCCUCCUGAGUAGCUGGGACCACGAGCGUGCACCACCACGCCUGGCUAAUUUUUGUAUUUUUAGUAGAGAUGGGGUUUUGCCAUGUUGGCCAAGCUGGUCUCAAACUCCUGGCCCCAAGUGAUACACCUGUCUUGGCCUCCCAAAGUGCUGGGAUUACAGGCGUGAGCCACCAUGCCUGGCCAAAGUGGUGAAUUUUAUAUUAGUGUGGUUUUGCAGUGGCUAGGUCUGUGCAAACCUAUCCCCAAAGGCCAAGGAAACUGACAGGCUGAAUAAAGAGGCUGACAUACCCAGUUUCCUAGAAAGAAACAUUUAGGGCCAGGCGGGAAGACUCACGCCUGUAUCCCAGCACUUUGGGAGGCUGAGGUGGGUGGAUCACCUGAA